GGCCGACUAGCUCAGUUGGUUAGAGCGUCGUGCUAAUAUAAAUUCAGCAGCAGUUGAUAACGUGAAGGUCUUGGGUUCGAUCCCCACGUUGGCCA